UUUUACCCUACUGAUGACAAGUCGUUGCGAUAGUAAUCCUGCUCAGUACGAGAGGAACCGCGGGAUCAGACAUUUGGUUCAUGCGCUCGGCUGAAAGGCCGGUGGCGCGAAGCUAGCAUCUGCAAGAUUAUGACUGAACGCCUCUAAGUCAGAAUCUUUUCUAGUCAUUGGCAACGAUAAGUUGCGUCCAGACUUGAUGCGAGGAAACGAUUAGGCUUUACUAUACGGCGAAGCCAUUAUCAGACCACGGUAGCAGGCAGUAUGGGAUUGUUACGAAAAAGCAAUUUUUUGAAGUCAGUUGAAUUCAAUCAAACUGCUAACAAUUCCACUGCGAAUGACUCCAUUCGAAUCAAUCGAAGCACAGCGGUCAGGAUGUCGAACAUUUUGCAGACGACAAAAAUACUGGUUCAGGUGUCGUAAUCAGUAGAGCAGUCAACAUAAUGCGAUCUGAUGAGACUCAUCCUUGUAAUCGAUUUGCUCGU
rnacentral:ncRNA from 1 species